GCAUUGGUAGUUCAGUGGUAGAAUUCUCAUCUUAGCCUGAAAACACGAGACCCGGGUUUGAUUCCUGGUCAAUGCA
rnacentral:tRNA from 1 species